CCUUCGAUAGCUCAGUUGGAAGAGCGUGGGACUGUAAGGGUACCCUGGGCUCAAACACGAGUCAUCCCAAGGUCGCUGGUUCGAACCCGGCUCGAAGGA